rnacentral:rRNA from 1 species
AAUGAACGUUGGCGGCGUGGAUUAGGCAUGCAAGUCGCGCGAGAAAUUUCCUUCGGGAAAUGGACAGCGGCGGAAGGGAGAGGAAUAAGUAGAGAUCUGCCCUCGGGACGGGGAUGGCGGUGGGAAACUGCCGGUAAUACCCGAUAACAUCUUUGGAUCAAAUGGUGUGAUUCCGCCUGAGGAUGAGUCUACUUCCUAUUAGCUAGUUGGUGGGGUAAUGGCCUACCAAGGCAACGAUGGGUAGCGGGUGUGAGAGCACGACCCGCCUCACUGGGACUGAGACACUGCCCAGACACCUACGGGUGGCUGCAGUCGAGAAUCUUCGGCAAUGGGGGAAACCCUGACCGAGCGACGCCGCGUGCGGGAUGAAGGCCCUUGGGUGUAAACCGCUGUCGUAAGGGAACAAAUCUAUAGGGGUACUCCCCUAUGGUUGAGUGAUCUUAGGAGGAAGGACGGGCUAAGUUCGUGCCAGCAGCCGACGGU